GAGUUUGAUCCUGGCUCAGGAUUAACGCUGGCGGCGUGCCUAACACAUGCAAGUCGAGCGGCAGCGAGUUUUACACUAAAUUCUGGAAACUUCUAGUUUGAAAGGAGAUAUUUCAAGAAUUUUGUGUAGAAUGUCGGCGAGCGGCGGACGGCUGAGUAACGCGUGGGAAUAUACCCCAAAGUGAGGGAUAACGCAUCGAAAGGUGUGCUAAUACCGCAUAUGGUCUUCGGAUUAAAGCAUUUAUGCGCUUUGGGAAUAGCCUGCGUCAGAUUAGAUAGUUGGUAGGGUAAUGGCCUACCAAGUCAACGAUCUGUAACUGGUUUGAGAGGAUGAUCAGUCAGACUGGAACUGAGACACGGUCCAGACUCCUACGGGAGGCAGCAGUGAGGAAUCUUCCACAAUGGGCGAAAGUCAUGAUGGAGCAACGCCGCGUGCAGGAUGAAGGCCUUCGGGUCGUAAACUGCUUUUAUAAGUGAGGAUUAUGACAGUAACUUAUGAAUAAGGAUCGGCUAACUACGUGCCAGCAGCCGCGGUCAUACGUAGGAUC
rnacentral:rRNA from 1 species